GAAUCAAUCAUGUGAUAUGUCCAGUUAGAUUGGACAUGCACAUGCUGCCCACUACACACAACCCAAUAACCCACUUGUCUGAGACCACUCAGUCUUGCAUGUGCUUCAUUAAAAGAUACCCACCACCUCUCCAUAUGUUUAUUGUAUCCAAAAGUCUUCUAGUACAGGUGGGUCAAUCUCCAUGCUUCUUGUCUCUUGGAUUCAAACCCACAAUAAUAGAGCCCAGUUCCAAACAUAAGCUCUGUCAUAUAUCAGACUGCACAGUUCAUUUGAGGCCUCUGGAAGUGGGUUUUUGCAGUGCAAUGGAAUAUAGAGUGAGAGGAUAAAAUGACUAGUGAUUGAUGAUAAUUCCAGUGGUAUCCAAUGGAUUUCAGAGACCCAUUGUCUAGUGUUGGAGCAUAAACAGUCAAGAACAUAAGUGGGUCUUGAAACAGAUGGAGCUAGAUUGGUACACUAAGAAGAGCUUGCAUUAUCUUCCUCCUACGACCUCAUCAUCUCUCUCUUCUAUUAUUGUUCUGAUCAGGAAGACUCUGAUAAAACCCAUGAGAAAAAUAGCAGUACAACUGGAUUCUUGUCAUCAGUCCAGAAAACCCAGGCAUAAGAAUAAAAAUGCAAUGAAUUCACAUGCUCUAUCCUACAUGAAAAAAUCCUCCAAGAAGCUACUGGUUCGGCUGCAUACAAGACACAGGAAGAGGAAUUUAGAUUGCUUUGGCUGUGUUCUACAUAUAUAGAAAAGUGUCUAAUUAUUAGAAGUACAGGAAAUUGUUAGAGGACAGCUAUGGGCUGACAAUUUGGAACUUCCCCCAGAUUCUUCAAGACAAGACAAAUAUUCAAUGCUUGAGGAUAACAAUUUGCUAUGGAGAUUCUUACUAUAUUACAGAUAAUAUGCAAUGUCAUCUUCAAACAAAAUGCUGGUUUAAUGUAAGAUGAUGACAAUUUCCAAGAGGGAUAAUUAUAAUUUGACAGAUAUAGCCGAACAAGAGAAGAUGCAGUUUAACUUCAUGGGUGCUUAUUAUAUUUGAGCUAUCUGAGAUAGUAGCCCUUGAAAGCAUAGAAGCUUAAAUGGCAAAAUGUUUUAUCAAUCGAAGAGACUUCUUAUGUUUCAA